AGAACGAACGCUGGCGGCAUGCCUAACACAUGCAAGUCGAACGAGACCUUCGGGUCUAGUGGCGCACGGGUGCGUAACGCGUGGGAAUCUGCCCUUAGGUUCGGAAUAACUCAGAGAAAUUUGAGCUAAUACCGGAUGAUGACGUAAGUCCAAAGAUUUAUCGCCUAGGGAUGAGCCCGCGUAAGAUUAGGUAGUUGGUGGGGUAAAAGCCUACCAAGCCGACGAUCUUUAGCUGGUCUGAGAGGAUGAUCAGCCACACUGGGACUGAGACACGGCCCAGACUCCUACGGGAGGCAGCAGUGGGGAAUAUUGGACAAUGGGCGAAAGCCUGAUCCAGCAAUGCCGCGUGAGUGAUGAAGGCCCUAGGGUUGUAAAGCUCUUUUACCCGGGAUGAUAAUGACAGUACCGGGAGAAUAAGCCCCGGCUAACUCCGUGCCAGCAGCCGC
rnacentral:rRNA from 1 species